rnacentral:rRNA from 1 species
GGACCCGCACAAGUAGUGGAGCGCCUGGUUUAAUUCGAUGCUAAACGAAGGACCUCACCAAGGCUUGAACUGUAGCUGCAAGCUGUAUGAAAAUACGGCCGCCUUCGAGGGUGCUAUAGAGGUGCUGCAUGGCUGUCAUCAGCUCGUGUCGUGAGAUGUUGGGUUAAGUCCCGCAACGAGCGCAACCCCUAUCGGAUGUUAAAAUUUCUUCCGAAACCGCCCUGCCUAAACGGGGAGGAAGGUGGGGACGAUGUCUAGUCAUCAUAGCCCUUAUGUCUUGGGCGACACAGACGCUACAAUGGACCGUACAAUGCGUUGCCAAACCGCGAGGUGGAGCUAAUCGCAACAAAACGGUUCUCAGUUGGGAUUGCAGUCUGAAACCUGACUGCAUGAACGCGGAAUUACUAGUAAUCGUGGAUCAGCAUGCCACGGUGAAUACGUUCUCGGGUCUU